CGGCGCGCGGCGGCCCGGCUGCCGCGGCGCCCGUGGCGCGCCGGCGAGCGCCGGCGCACGGACGUUCAACCCGCCUUCGCGCGCCGU
rnacentral:tRNA from 1 species